rnacentral:rRNA from 1 species
UACAGGGGGGUGCAAACGUUGCUUGGAAUCAUUGGGCGUAAAGCGCACGUAGGCGGUCUGUUAUGUCGGAUGUGAAAGCCCUUGGCUUAACUGAGGAAGUGCAUCCGAAACUGGCAGGCUAGAGUACUAAAGAGGGUCGCGGAAUUCCCGGUGUAGAGGUGAAAUUCGUAGAUAUACGGGAGGAACACCUGGCGGAGGAAGGGCGGGCUG